UUUCUUUAAUGAACAACCCAUUUAGGGUUACAACAAAACAAAGCACAGAACAAGUGAACAACCACAGACUCACAGUCUCGUAGGUAUCGAACAAGAACAACAGCGCCUCCACCCUCACCCUCUUCCCUCCGGCUGUCCUCCUCCCUCCAGCGACCACCUCACCGUCCUCCCUGCAAUGGAAGGAACCAAGCAGAAGGUUUGUAAUAUUUAGCGAAACUGCAAUGUAAGGAACCAAGCAGAAGGUUGUGUUAUCGAUUUGGGUGGCGAAAAGCCGAGGAAUUUGGGGUAAAUCAGGGAAAAUUGGAAAAGGUCAGAUGGCUAAACCUAGGGUUCUUGCAAUCACACUUUGUUAGAGAAAUUUAGUGGUGGUUUACUUGAUUAAGUGAUUUGGCUGCUUGCGAUGUCCUUUAUGAAACCCGAGUUCGAGUCUUGUGAUGUGCUUAAUUGAUUUGGCUGCUUGUGAUAUGCUUAAUUGAUUUGGCUGCUUGUGAUGUGCCUUAUGGAACCCGAGUUUGAUUUAUUGAUUUGGUUGCUUUGUUAGAGAAAUUUAUUGUUUUCGUUUGGAUCACACUUUUGAUCUUUAACUCUCUUAAGAAGACCUAUGGCUUGCUAGUCCAAAUAACUGUAUCAUUCAUGUAGAGUGCCAAUGCAUGCCCAGUGAAUUCAAUUCUAUUAUCGUCCAGUCCGUAUAUAUUUAUUUGCCUGCAUAAAACAAGUCAAACAUGUGAAAAUAUUAUCAAUGAAGCUAGAAGAACUGAACAUGGUUUGUUGAACACAUUACUUCCUGGACCGCCGACAUUUUGUGACACUAGUGUGAAUAAGAACGCAAACUAAGGCACCAUUAACCACGGACUUGCUUAUGUGUAUGAGUUCCUUGUAUCGUAUUUUUAUUAUGUAAUGAACCUUACCCGAUCCGAACCGUCGAACCGGCCUGAAUUUUUUAUGUCAGUCAUAUGAUUGAAACAUCUAUAAAAGUGAACCCAGUGAAAAAAAUUCAUGGAUUCGCCACUGAAUGAUAACAUCAUAUUGGACCAUUAUAACGGCCUCGUCCAUGUCCUCUACCCCUACUAUUAUUAGUGUAUUAUUAGUGAAUCAGUGUGGUUGUCUUGUAUUUUAAAGGCUUGAUCAUAUUGUCUUAGUCACAAUUUAUGCGAUUGUAGUAUGCUUAACAACUCCUCUAUGGUGAUGGUAUCUAAAUCUUUGGAUUCUUGUACUGCUACCAUAACUGAUUCGAUCUUUAUGGCAUCUUGUGCAGUUUUUGUUGUUGCAAUGCGUUCAAACAUGGUUUUAUUCACUGCUUGAAAUAGUAUAUGUGAUGCUUUCCUAUCGUUCUUAAUGGUUUCUUGAUGUUCAUUGAGAAUACUUUCCGCUGCCCCUUGUUGUGGUUUUUUCGUAUAACCAUUCUCUAUUAUUGCCUAAAGGUCUUGUGAUUCCAAAAGAA